GACAUAGGUGGCGAACGUUAUCCGGAAUUAUUGGGCGUAAAGGAUGCGUAGAUGGUAGAAUAAGUUACUGGUCGAUGCCAAACUCAAUUUGACGGAAGCUGGUAAUACUGUUCUGCUUGAGGGCAGGAGAGGUUGAUGGAAUUCUGUGUGGAGCGGUGAAAUGCGCAGAUAUCAGGAGGAACACCAAUGGCGAAGGCAGCUCGCUGGGACGGUACUGACGCUGAGGCGCGAAAGCGUGGGGAGCAAACAGG
rnacentral:rRNA from 1 species